AUUGAACGCUGGCGGCAUGCCUUACACAUGCAAGUCGAACGGCAGCACGGGUGCUUGCACCUGGUGGCGAGUGGCGAACGGGUGAGUAAUACAUCGGAACAUGUCCUGUAGUGGGGGAUAGCCCGGCGAAAGCCGGAUUAAUACCACAUACGAUCUACGGAUGAAAGCGGGGGACCUUCGGGCCUCGCGCUAUAGGGUUGGCCGAUGGCUGAUUAGCUAGUUGGUGGGGUAAAGGCCUACCAAGGCGACGAUCAGUAGCUGGUCUGAGAGGACGACCAGCCACACUGGGACUGAGACACGGCCCAGACUCCUACGGGAGGCAGCAGUGGGGAAUUUUGGACAAUGGGCGAAAGCCUGAUCCAGCAAUGCCGCGUGUGUGAAGAAGGCCUUCGGGUUGUAAAGCACUUUUGUCCGGAAAGAAAUCCUUGGCCCUAAUACGGUCGGGGGAUGACGGUACCGGAAGAAUAAGCACCGGCUAACUACGUG
rnacentral:rRNA from 1 species